rnacentral:rRNA from 1 species
CGGCGAGUGGCAAACGGGUGAGUAAUACAUCGGAACGUGCCCAGUAGUGGGGGACAACUUAGGGAAACUUAAGCUAAUACCGCAUACGCCCUAAGGGGGAAAGCGGGGGAUCUUCGGACCUCGCGCUAUUGGAAGAGCUUGCGUUAGAUUAGCUAGUUGGUGGGGUAAAGGCUCACCAAGGCGACGAUCUAUAGCUGGUCUGAGAGGAUGAUCAGCCACACUGGGACUGAGACACGGCCCAGACUCC